rnacentral:lncRNA from 1 species
AUGCAGUGUUGCUGCUUGAGAUUCUUACUGGAAGUAUUACAAGGUCUCUUCCACUUUUUUUUUUCCAGUCUGAUUUUAACAGUUCCACAUAGAUCCUGCCGUUUGCCUUGGUGGAGAGGGGGAAUGUCUAAAGGAUGGCUUCUAAGGCAAUCAGUUACUUAGUUACUUGCAAUUUUCCUGGUAUCAUUCUCCUCUUACGCUUGUUU